rnacentral:lncRNA from 1 species
CGCUAUCCAAAUAACUGCUUUCCAUUCCAGCAGAUUGGUUCCCUUCCCUAUAAACAUGCUUCAUGAUCCUUUGUUGAAGUCCAUUGAUGAGUCUAUUACAAUCCAAAAUCAAAGUAAACAACACUAGAUUAUUAGAAAAUUCUUCAUAGGCAGAAUUAAUAAUAGUAGUAGAAUCAAGCUUAAUUUCCAAGAAAUCAAUAUUAAGAGUUCUAGCAAGUUGUAAGACAUCCCGAAGAUCUCAUUGUUCCACCUCAACAUUAGAAGCCUCAGAAUAUGCCUAAUUGAACCAUGGCCACUCAUGAUCUCAAAUUAUUCUCCCUGCACUUACAUUUCCCAAAUUGCCCACCAAAGGUUCGUUUGUGUUCAAUUUGAACCACCCAAUCAUUGGAAGCUACCACAAUGGAAACACAAGUUUUUUUUAUUAUUUUAGCUGAGAGAGCAAAGUACUCUCUCACUUUUGCAACACAUGUAUAUAUUACCAGCAUUAUCUCCAAAAAUAAUGUCAUUUCUAUUCAACCAAAAAAACAAAAAACAAAAUACAAUAUUCCGAGGUGUUUUAUGAUUAAUCAAACACAUUUAAGAGCAAAUAUUUUGUUCCAACCAGCCUUUUUAGUCAAGACUAGUAUUUUCCGUACCUAAGCUUGGUGGAUACGGCUCAUCCCAACAUUUACCCACAACAAGAAGACACUUACACAACAUAUUUCUCAAGGUUUCUUAGUAACUUUGGCAAAAGGAGCACUCCUCACUAAUCAAAAUGUCUCUCUUAACAAGAAAGGAUGUUGUAGAAACAAUAUCAUGAAAACAUUCCCAACUAAAACAAAAAUAAAUUUGGGAGGAAUUUUAAUUUUCCAAAUAAGGUCCCAAGGGAUACCAUUAUGACUGAUCUUAUCCAAUCUAUGAAGCAUAAGGCCAUAAGCACUCAUGAGGGUGAAUUGGCCAUUUGGGGAAAGACCCCAAAUGGUAGUAUCUCUACCAUCAAGGGCCAAAGACUCGAAAGUACCGUAUUAAAUUUAGUGAGAUACCUACUGAAAAUUAUUUUAUUUUAUUUUUUAAAUAAAAAUUUAAAAAUAUAAUACUAUACAAUAGAAGAAUGCCAAAAGGUCUUGUAACCACUUGGAUAAUGACCCAAUUACAUGAGCCCAAACAAACACCUAACCCUAGCCCAAAUAGAAAACAAAAAAGAAGAAAAAAUAAGAUUUUUCAAGGGCAUUCGGCCAACUGCCCUAACCCAUCAUCAGUGCAAGUGGCACACCCAGCCCCUGCCUCACCGCCGUUCACCUGCAAAAAAGGAGAAAAGACAGUAUGCAUAAAGAAUAGAAAUAUUGUAAAAAAAAAAUGGGCUAUAUAAGCCACCAAAGAAUCCGAUGUAAGGUUGGUUCAUUUUUUGGAAAUACAAAAGGAAAAUAUAGUAGACAUUGAAUACCAAAAAGGGGAAACUCAAAUAGCAAACAGAAAUCUACAAAAACAUAUUCAAGGAUAAAUCAAGUUAAAAGGAUAUUGUUUUUUUCUUUUUUCUUUUAUUUUAUUUUCGUUUUUUAUCUACUAACAUGGAUACAUAGAUAUUUUUUUUACAUUGUUCUUUAAAAAUACAUAAAAAAAUAAAAAAAAUAUACCUUUUUUUGAAUUUCCACGGUGGCCUGCGACGGCGGCGGACGGAGCCGGAGCUUGGUCGGAGGGAGAGGGCCUUGAGAGAGAAUAGAGAGUUUUUGAAAUUUUUUUUAAGAAACAAAUGAAGAAU